GCAGGAGGCUGCAGACAGAAGCUGAACAGAUGUGAGCUGGAAAGGAAAAGUCCCUCUGUUCAGUCUUUCUCCUCUCUGGAAAGACUCAAGCAGCAGCUUUUCAUGCCUUCUUCUUUCUGUUCAUUUGGGAUAAUUUUUUAAAGUCUCUUGUUCCUAUAUGUUCAUGGAGGUAACGCCGCAACAUGGUGGCAACGCAGUAACAUGGUGGUAACGCAGUAACAUGGUGGUAACGCAGUAACAUGGUGGUAACGCCGCAACAUGGUGGUAACGCAGUAACAUGGUGGUAACGCAGUAACAUGGUGGUAACGCCGAAACAUGGUGGUAACGC